rnacentral:rRNA from 1 species
AGCUUGCUUUUGAGGCGUCGACCGGCGCACGGGUGAGUAACGCGUAUCCACCUGCCCACCACUUGGGGAUAGCCUUGCGAAAGUAAGACUAAUACCCAAUGAUAAGACAUCUGUAAAGAUUUAUCGGUGAUGGAUGGGGAUGCGUCUGAUUAGCUUGUUGGCGGGGUAACGGCCCACCAAGGCAACGAUCAGUAGGGGUUCUGAGAGGAAGGUCCCCCACAUUGGAACUGAGACACGGUCCAAACUCCUACGGGAGGCAGCAGUGAGGAAUAUUGGUCAAUGGGCGAGAGCCUGAACCAGCCAAGUAGCGUGCAGGAUGACGGCCUAUGGGUUGUAAACUGCUUUUAUAAGGGAAUAAGUGAGUCUCGUGAGACUUUUUGCAUGUACCUUAUGAAUAAGGACCGGCUAAUUCCGUGCCAGCAGCCGCGGUAAUACGGAAGGUCCGGGCGUUAUC